UACGUAGGUGGCAAGCGUUGUCCGGAGUUAUUGGGCGUAAAGCGCGCGCAGGCGGUUGGAUAAGUCCAUGGUGAAAGCGCCUGGCUCAACUAGGCGAGUGCCGUGGGGACUGUUCAGCUGGAGUGGAGCAGAGGCGAGUGGAAUUCCGGGUGUAGUGGUGAAAUGCGUAGAGAUCCGGAGGAACACCGAAGGCGAAGGCAGUGUCCUGGCGCGUAACUGACGCUGAGGUGCGAAAGCCAGGGGAGCGAACGGG
rnacentral:rRNA from 1 species